UCAUUUUGUAGAUAUAACUGGACUAAUAAUCAUUAUCUUGCUUUAGGCCAAUAAGGGAUGUUUUGAAACUAGAUUAGUAUUUUAUUGGUCACUAGAUGGCGCUGUCACUCUUUUGUGUUUAUUGCUACUGGUACAAAGAACCAAACGCUUUUGUGUCUCAAACAUGACCAGAAAAACGCUUGGACAAAGAAACUCAUUUCAGUAAAAUAAAACCCAUUAAUGUCUUCAGUCUAUUAACGUUGUUUAGUUUGAAUGUACUGAAUAUGACAGGGUGAUCCCAUGCAAAUAACUAACAGUGAUUUUGAUAGAAAUGAAGGAAUCAGAUCAGAUCACACCCCAUUCCAACUUUACACUGUAUCAGAAAUAUGUGCAGUUAUUAAUGCCAAGUGAACCGGAUAAUCUCCGCCAUGUCCUUUGAAACUGUGAACGACCCCGAGGGUCGUGUCGGCGGCCUCCUCUCAACAGGAGUGAAAAAAGCUCAGCCAAUCUUUUGAUAACUGAUUGGAUGAGGGGAGCUCGCAGUUUACAGUUUUACGUUUUACAGUAUCGUAUAAAACCCCACAAUAUCCUGAAAAAACAUUGUUGUCCGAAAGCACUUUUUUUCCCAAUAAAAGCAAAUCCUGCCCAGUUUGGAACCCUGCCAACACUGAGAAGCAGUGGCAUAAAAGUCACGUCACUGAGAGAUGACGUCACAGAACCGGUCCAUUGUGAAGUCAUACUCGGAACUACCAGCUGACAAUUCCAGAAAAAGUGUUUUUCUUUUCAGAAGCGCGUCGUUACAACAAUAACAGCACAAACAGUUUUCAGUGAUUAUAUGAGAAAAGAGAAGAAGAGUGAAAAGUCAUGAAGAGAAGCAGAAAGCACCAAAAUACAAAGCAGUCAACAGCUCCACAGGAGAUGAAGCAGGAGCGAGAGCUGAGCCCCCCACCCAGCCCCCCAGCCCCUGGGUGCACCUGCAUCCCUAAAAUGUCCCUGUUUCGCAA